rnacentral:rRNA from 1 species
GAUGAACGCUGGCGGUAUGCUUAACACAUGCAAGUCGAACGGACUCUUCGGAGUUAGUGGCGGACGGGUGAGUAACGCGUGAGAAUCUGGCUUUGGGUUCGGGACAACCACUGGAAACGGUGGCUAAUACCGGAUGUGCCGAGAGGUAAAAGAGAAAUUGCCUGAAGAUGAGCUCGCGUCUGAUUAGCUAGUUGGUGAGGUAAAGGCUCACCAAGGCAGCGAUCAGUAGCUGGUCUGAGAGGAUGACCAGCCACACUGGGACUGAGACACGGCCCAGACUCCUACGGGAGGCAGCAGUGGGGAAUUUUCCGCAAUGGGCGAAAGCCUGAUGGAGCAAUACCGCGUGAGGGAAGAAGGCUCUUGGGUUGUAAACCUCUUUUCUUAGGGAAGAACAAAAUGACGGUACCUAAGGAAUCAGCAUCGGCUAACUCCGU